UACGUAGGGUGCAAGCGUUAAUCGGAAUUACUGGGCGUAAAGCGUGCGCAGGCGGUGAUGUAAGACAGAUGUGAAAUCCCCGGGCUCAACCUGGGAACUGCAUUUGUGACUGCAUCGCUGGAGUGCGGCAGAGGGGGAUGGAAUUCCGCGUGUAGCAGUGAAAUGCGUAGAUAUGCGGAGGAACACCGAUGGCGAAGGCAAUCCCCUGGGCCUGCACUGACGCUCAUGAACGAAAGCGUGGGGAGCAAACAGG
rnacentral:rRNA from 1 species